rnacentral:rRNA from 1 species
UACGGGGGGAGCAAGCGUUGUUCGGAUUUACUGGGCGUAAAGGGCGCGUAGGCGGUAGCACAAGUCAGUUGUGAAAUCUCCGGGCUUAACUCGGAAAGGUCAACUGAUACUGUGCGACUAGAGUGCAGAAGGGGCAACUGGAAUUCUCGGUGUAGCGGUGAAAUGCGUAGAUAUCGAGAGGAACACCUGCGGCGAAGGCGGCUCACUGGACCGGUACUGACGCUGAGGCGCGAAAGCGUGGGGAGCAAACGGG